AGCGAACGCUGGCGGCGUGCUUAACACAUGCAAGUCGAGUGCGCGCUUCGUAGCAAUACGGGAUGGCGCACGGCGCACGGGUGAGGAACACGUGGGCAACAUGCCCUCUGAUGGGGAAUAACCCCGCGAAAGCGGGGCUAAUACCGCAUAAGAUUCCGGGGACCUCGUCCCUGGACUGAAAGCCCGCAAGGGCGUCGGAGGAGUGGCCCGCGGCCGAUUAGCUUGUUGGCGGGGUAACGGCCCACCAAGGCAAUGAUCGGUAGCCGGUCUGAGAGGAUGAUCGGCCACACUGGAACUGAGACACGGUCCAGACUCCUACGGGAGGCAGCAGUGGGGAAUCUUGCGCAAUGGGCGAAAGCCUGACGCAGCGACGCCGCGU
rnacentral:rRNA from 1 species